UACGGAGGGUGCAAGCGUUAUCCGGAUUCACUGGGUUUAAAGGGUGCGUAGGCGGGCAGGGAAGUCAGUGGUGAAAUCUCCGGGCUUAACUCGGAAACUGCCGUUGAUACUCUCUGUCUUGAAUCCCGUGGAGGUGAGCGGAAUAUGUCAUGUUGCGGUGAAAUGCUUAGAUAUGACAUAGAACACCAAUUGCGAAGGCAGCUCACUACACGAAGAUUGACUCUGAGGCACGAAAGCGUGGGGAUCAAACAGG
rnacentral:rRNA from 1 species